GGGAUAACGUAGCGAAAGCUACGCUAAUACCGCAUACGAUCUAUGGAUGAAAGCGGGGGAUCGCAAGACCUCGCGCGAUUGGAGCGGCCGAUAUCAGAUUAGGUAGUUGGUGAGGUAAAGGCUCACCAAGCCGACGAUCUGUAGCUGGUCUGAGAGGACGACCAGCCACACUGGGACUGAGACACGGCCCAGACUCCUACGGGAGGCAGCAGUGGGAAUUUUGGACAAUGGGCGCAAGCCUGAUCCAGCAAUGCCGCGUGCAGGAUGAAGGCCUUCGGGUUGUAAACUGCUUUUGUACGGAACGAAACGGUGAGCUCUAAUACAGUUUGCUAAUGACGGUACCGUAAGAAUAAGCACCGGCUAACUACGUG
rnacentral:rRNA from 1 species